GACGAACCGAGCGAACGUUGUUCGGAAUCACUGGGCUUAAAGGGCGCGUAGGCGGGUGUGUAAGUCUGCGGUGAAAUCCUCCAGCUUAACUGGAGAAGUGCCGUGGAUACUGCGCAUCUUGAGGAGGGUAGGGGCAUCUGGAACGGUCGGUGGAGCGGUGAAAUGCGUAGAGAUCGGGAAGAACAUCGGUGGCGAAAGCGCUCUGCUGGACUGCAACUGACACUCAGGGACGAAAGCUAGGGGAGCGAACCAGG
rnacentral:rRNA from 1 species